rnacentral:rRNA from 1 species
GGAUCAUUACUGUAGGAACUGUGGCGGCUGCUGUCUUGAAGAUGAGCUCUGCAUCAAAGCCUCGGAGGGCCUCUGGCCCUCUUUCUACCGCCGGUACACUUGUGUGCUAGGCAUGAGAGGCUGCUUCUGGUGCAGUGGCAAGCUUCGGGCAGCUUCUUGCUGCAGAUCCAAACCUUCUACCCUUGUCUAUGAGCACCUCUUGUUUCCUCGGCGGGCUCGCCCGCCAGAGGACCUUAUAAAACCCUUUUGCAAUACCUGUAGUACUGUCUGAUAGCGAAAGCAAUAAAAUCAAAACUUUCAACAACGGAUCUCUUGGUUCUGGCAUCGAUGAAGAACGCAGCGAAAUGCGAUAAGUAGUGUGAAUUGCAGAAUUCAGUGAAUCAUCGAAUCUUUGAACGCACAUUGCGCCCUUUGGUAUUCCUUAGGGCAUGUCUGUUCGAGCGUCAUUUAACCCUUCAAGCUUUGCUUGGUGUUGGGCGUCUUUGUCUCCGCCUCAGCGUGGAGACUCGCCUUAAAAUCAUCGGCGUCGGUAGUUAUCAGCCUAGAGCGCAGCAGAAAUCGCGUCUCGAAGCCUGACCAUCCGCCUGCCGCAACCCCCCCCAAAACUUGACCUC